rnacentral:rRNA from 1 species
UACGGAGGGAGCAAGCGUUGUUCGGAAUUACUGGGCGUAAAGGGCGCGUAGGCGGUGUGGUAAGUCAGAUGUGAAAGCCCUGGGCUUAACCCAGGAAGUGCAUUUGAAACUACCAUGCUUGAGUAUGGGAGAGGAGAGUGGAAUUCCCAGUGUAGAGGUGAAAUUCGUAGAUAUUGGGAGGAACACCCGUGGCGAAGGCGACUCUCUGGACCAAUACUGACGCUGAGGAGCGAAAGCGUGGGGAGCAAACAGG